UACGUAGGGUGCGAGCGUUAAUCGGAAUUACGGGGCGGAAAGCGCUUGUAGGCGGCCAUGCAAGUCGGAUGUGAAAGCCCUCGGCUCAACCGGGGAAGUGCACUCGAAACUGCAAGGCUAGAGUCUCGGAGAGGAUCGUGGAAUUCUCGGUGUAGAGGUGAAAUUCGUAGAUAUCGAGAGGAACACCGGUGGCGAAGGCGGCGCUCUGGACGAUGACUGACGCUGAGACGCGAAGGCGUGGGGAGCAAACAGG
rnacentral:rRNA from 1 species